AUUGAACGCUGGCGGCAUGCCUUACACAUGCAAGUCGAACGGUAACAGGUCUUCGGAUGCUGACGAGUGGCGAACGGGUGAGUAAUACAUCGGAACGUGCCUAGUAGUGGGGGAUAACUACUCGAAAGAGUGGCUAAUACCGCAUGAGAUCUACGGAUGAAAGCAGGGGAUCGCAAGACCUUGUGCUACUAGAGCGGCCGAUGGCAGAUUAGGUAGUUGGUGGGAUAAAAGCUUACCAAGCCGACGAUCUGUAGCUGGUCUGAGAGGACGAACAGCCGCACUGGGGCUGAGACCAGGCCCAGACUCCUACGGGAGGCAGCAGUGGGGAAUUUUGGACAAUGGGCGCAAGCCUGAUCCAGCAAUGCCGCGUGCAGGAUGAAGGCCUUCGGGUUGUAAACUGCUUUUGUACGGAACGAAAAGCCCUGGGUUAAUACCCUGGGGUCAUGACGGUACCGUAAGAAUAAGCACCGGCUAACUACGUGCCAGCAGCCGCAGUAAUAC
rnacentral:rRNA from 1 species